rfam:Glomerella graminicola M1.001 genomic scaffold supercont1.23, whole genome shotgun sequence.
AGCACGGUAGCUCGCGGGUAGAGCGCUGGGCUCAUAACCCUGAGGUCCGUCCCUGGAUCGAAACCAGGUCGUGCUA